CUCCUCCUGUGAACUAUUUGCCGAACUACCUUAUAUAAGGGUGGUAUAAAGACCUCUGUAAAUAUAUACAAUAGAUUAAUAGAUUGGUCAUAGAAUUCUCUUGAAUUACAUUUUGUUUGGCACACAGUGGAAGCUCCAAAAAUAUUUGCUGAAUAACUCAGUCUGGUCAUCCAAGUGUUACCAAAACUUUGUACCAAGAAGCUUGUAGGAUUUGGUUUUCAUUUCAAUUGUGAAAUGAAAUUGCAUACAUUUUGUAUAUAUGCUUACUUUUCUUUUUUAAAAUUUAUCUUAUUACAGUGUUCUACAUGUCCAAAGAAACUUCUCUAUUAACAAACUAAAGACAUGAUAUCUGAAGGUAAUCUUUAUGCAUAAUUUUCUUCUAAGAAACUCAAAAUGUGCUUUAUAUGAAGAAUCACUAAUAACCAUUUACUUACUACUCCCUGCUACUGAGUUUUGAACAGAGAGCUAAUGUAUGCCUAAGGGAAAAUCGAUUAAAGAGACAUUCUUACAUAGCUCCAAAAACGAAUUAACAACAACAGUCAGGGUGAAAGGGGGAGGAGGGUGCUCCCUUUAACUUGAAAUGCUUAAACAAAUAUGGGAUUUUAGUGAAAAUGGGAGUCUUGAAAUGUAUCCUUAAUGUCCAGAUACUCACAAGAUAACUUUCAAUUAUCCAGAAUUAUUUUUUACUCUAUAGAGCAAUUCUUCCAAAAUAGUGCAUCAAUUUAUUCUCAGAAGUUAUCUCAUUCGAGUAAAGUGACUCUCACCCAAGAGAGACACUGGUAGCAAAGGGCAGUAGUUACUUAAAUAGCAGUGAAACUGAUACUAGAGAACUGCCAACUGAUGAAAAUUUAAUCAGCAGUAUAUGGGAUUGGAAUGGGCUUAUACAGGGAAUAAUUCUGAAUAUAAGGUGUUCAGUAGUUUCUAUUUCUUUAAAAUUUUCUGUACAAAGUGGAAAAAAUUUACACACCCAUGUUUGAAAAAUGGGUAAUUUUUCUUUCAUUCAUCAAUUUUUAAAGGUAAAUAUGCUAGUAAAUUAAGGAGACAAAUAGUUCUCUAUCGCACGUUGUAAAAAAUCUAGGGCCCUGGUCCUUUACCAUUGCCUUUUUUCCAUUCCGCACAAGAGAUGUGUCUUCCCAGGUGACACAGGAGCCAUCCUUGAUGUUUUUUGUUUCAUCAAGUCUAUUUGGGUGUUCCUAUUCCAUGCUUCUUCCCCUCUAGAUUCCCCCAUCUACCUCAUACUCUAGGUUUAUCCUGAGUGUGGAGUAAGGAAGUAUGAAUACCACAUUUACAUUUUCCUUUUGUUCACCUUCUCUCUCUUAGACUCUUCCGCUCAGUACCAAAAGGACUUUCUUUCUUGCACUGCAGGAACUUCCCUUACAUCAAAUUCUUAUACUGUUUACUUUCUUUAUUGUAAAAAUAUUACAGUCUUCUGAAUCUGACUUCUGUAAGCCUCUUUUCUCCUUAACAACAAAGUCUCCUCCAAAAAUCAUAAGUGCUUACUUUCAGGCUAUUGUCUCAACGUGGACUUGAAACACACUAUUUUGAAACUCAAAGCUGCCUUUAGCAGGGUUCUGUCCAUUCAAAGAGGCAACUAUUUCCACUGGUUCAAUCAGUGGGGUUAAUGAUAGGCCCAGAACUAGGAAUUUUCGAGAAAGAAAAUCCAUUUACUUAAUAUUCCCAAAAUGUAUUUGUUAUGCUGAGAACACACACUAAGAAUACAUGGCAUUUCAUCACAUAGAUGAAAAACUAACAUCAUCAUAAGCAAGUUUGGAAGCAGUGAAACACACCCCUCGGAAGGCAUUAUGAAUGCUCCCUAAUAUCUGAUUCUCCCUUCCCAGUCCCGUUGCAGUUUGGCGGAGCCAUAUGAAAGGUUCUAGCUAGUGAAAUACAAGGGGAAGUGGGAGGGCUGAGGUAGUGACAAGCCACUGCAUGAUGCUAUAGAUUCCCUCUUCUGCAGCGAAAGUGGAAUCUCAUGUUGGGACAGCAGAG
ensembl:lncRNA